rnacentral:rRNA from 1 species
CGUAGGGGGCAAGCGUUGUCCGGAAUUACUGGGCGUAAAGGGCGUGUAGGUGGGUAAUUAAGUCAUGGGUGAAAACUGCGUGCUCAACAUGCAGACUGCCUAUGAAACUGGAUAUCUUGAGGGCAGGAGAGGAAAGUGGAAUUCCUAGUGUAGCGGUGAAAUGCGUAGAUAUUAGGAGGAACACCAGUGGCGAAGGCGACUUUCUGGACUGUCCCUGACACUGAGGCGCGAAAGCUAGGGGAGCAAACGGGAUUAGAUACCCCGGUAGUCCUAGCCGUAAACGAUGGGUACUAGGUGUGGGAGGUAUCGACCCCUUCCGUGCCGGAGUUAACGCAUUAAGUACCCGCCUGGGGAGUACGGCCGCAAGGUUG